rnacentral:rRNA from 1 species
UACGUAGGUGGCAAGCGUUAUCCGGAAUUAUUGGGCGUAAAGCGCUCGCAGGCGGUUUCUUAAGUCUGAUGUGAAAGCCCACGGCUCAACCGUGGAGGGUCAUUGGAAACUGGGAGACUUGAGUGCAGAAGAGGAGAGUGGAAUUCCACGUGUAGCGGUGAAAUGCGUAGAGAUCAGCAGGAACACCCGUGGCGAAGGCGGCCCCCUGGGCCGUACCUGACGCUGAGGCGCGAAGGCUAGGGGAGCGAACGGG